UUAUCAUCCUUCAAGUGGGGCUGAACACCAUUGCAGACCUUUGGUACCUGUUCGGAGACCUCAGUCUUUCAUUGGUGAGCACCCAAGCGUUUGCUGUGGAAAUGUUUUUGCUCCCUGAUGUUGCUGAGUAGGAGCCGGUGGCCUUCUGUCUCUGCUGCAGGUGGCAGAGUGGCUGUGUUCUGGGUCCCGGGUGGGCUGGACCCCCCACCCUCCGCAGACAGCAGGACAUCAGGGAGUGGGCCCAGCUGAGGACUGGAUAGGGUUCAAGGGAGAGGAUGGAUUAACAUUCUUGGAAGUCUCUUUUUGCAUUUGUUUUAUAAUGUCUGUCUUUUUUUUUUUUUUUUUUUUUUUUGAGAUGGAGUUUCGCUCUGUUACCCAGGCUGGAGUGCAGUGGGCCGAUCUUGGCUCACUGCAACCUCCGCCUCCUGGGUACAAGUGAUUCUCUUGCCUCAGCCUCCCAAGUAGCUGGGAUUACAGGCACAUGCCACCAUGCCCAGCUAAUUUUUGUAGUUUUAGUAGAGAUGGGGUUCUACCAUGUUGGCCAGGUUGUUCUCAAACUCCUGACCUCAAGUGAUCCGCCCGCCUUGGCCUCCCAAAGUGUGGGGAUUACAGGCAUGAGCCACCGAGCCCGGCCUGAACUCACAAUUUUCAUUUCCUGACCCACAGUCUCCAUAUUUGGAGGCCAGUAAGGGCCUUUACGGUUUAUUAUUUAUUAAGGGCUGAUUCUGUGCCAGGCAGUAUGCGAAAUGCUUUACCUCCAUUAUCUCAUUUACCCCUCAUAAUAGUCCUAUGAGGUGGGGAGUUAUUACCCUGAUUUUCAAAUGAGGAAAUCAAAACCUACAGAGGUAAUGACUCCCCCGAGGCCAUCGGGGAGUGAGAGGUGUAUCUAGGAGUCACAACCAGGUUAGGUUGGCCCCAGGCCGUCACUCUGCUGUGGUGCUGCUCCAUCACCUCCGAACCAACUCCUAACAAGUUUAUUCAUUCAUUCAUUCAUUCAUUCAUUCAUUCAUUCAUUCAUUCAGAAAAUAUAUAAAGACCAUCCAUCCACUGUGUGUGAGGUGCUGGAAUAUACAGAUGAAUACAAUAUGGUCCCCACCCUCUGUGGUCAAUGGAGAGAGAGAAAUAAGGAAGCAGGCAGUUACAGUCAGCCAGGAGUGCUGGGAGAGCACAGAAAAGGGCGCUCGGCCAGUCCCAGGCAAUCCAGGAAGGCCUCUGGGAGGAAGCCGCGAAGUUAAGAUAAGGAGCCAUUAGCCAUGUGAUGGGUUGGUCUGGGACAGUAGAGGAAGCACUGGGAAAGUUCAAGGAGGUUAGCGUCCCUGGAACAUGGAGCGGACUGGUGAGCAGCUAUGUUGCAGAUGCAAGUUCCUUGUCCUUGGCACAGUGACAUCCUGGGGUCUUGGGUGUAGAGCCUGGAGAGGUGGCAGAGGGCUGGCCCAUGUUUAUCUUGUGUAGUGCUUGGGUGGUGGGUGUUACAGAAAGGCUUAGGGUUUCCACAUAGUCUUCUCUCCUCUUGGCCAUUUUUUAUGAUUAUGACCUAUAUAUUAAAAGCUAUAUAUAAUGCAUGCAUAGUGCCUAAGGAAUAAUGAGGUCUCACGUGCCUAGCACCCCACGCUGGCCUCUGUUUGCAGGUGACUGUGGGAAAACACCUGACUGCUCGUGUCCUGUGCCUCAUAGUGCUGCCCCUGGCUCUCUACACAGCCACCUUUGCUGUUCACUUCAUGGUGCUGAGUAAAAGUGGCCCUGGUGACGGUUUCUUCAGUUCUGCCUUCCAGGCCCGGCUCUCAGGGAACAACCUGCACAAUGCUUCCAUCCCUGAACACCUGGCCUACGGCUCUGUGAUCACUGUGAAGAACCUCCGGAUGGCCAUCGGCUAUCUGCACUCCCACAGGCACCUCUACCCCGAGGGCAUUGGUGCCCGUCAGCAGCAGGUCACCACCUAUUUGCACAAGGACUACAACAACCUGUGGAUUAUCAAGAAACAUAACACAAACUCAGAUCCCCUAGACCCUUCCUUCCCAGUGGAGUUUGUAAGACAUGGAGACAUUAUUCGACUAGAACACAAAGAAACUUCCCGGAACUUGCACAGUCACUAUCAUGAGGCCCCCCUGACCCGGAAGCACUAUCAGGUCACCGGCUAUGGCAUAAAUGGAACAGGGGACUCAAAUGAUUUCUGGCGGAUUGAGGUCGUAAACAGAAAAUUUGGAAACCGGAUCAAAGUGCUGAGAAGUCGAAUUCGCUUCAUCCAUUUGGUCACAGGUUGUGUCCUGGGCUCCUCAGGAAAGGUUCUGCCCAAGUGGGGCUGGGAGCAGUUGGAAGUUACUUGCACCCCAUACCUGAAAGAAACCCUCAACUCCAUCUGGAAUGUGGAGGACCAUAUCAAUCCCAAGUUGCCAAACAUCAGCUUGGAUGUGCUGCAGCCCAGUUUUCCUGAGAUGUUGCUGGAAUCCCACAUGGUCAUGAUCCGGGGGAACAGUGGCCUCAAACCCAAGGACAAUGAGUUCACGUCCAAACCCUGGCACUGGCCUAUCAACUAUCAGGGCCUACGCUUCUCAGGGGUCAAUGACACAGAUUUCCGAGUCUAUCUGCUUGGCAACCCGGUGGUUUGGUGGCUCAAUCUGUUGAGCAUCACCCUCUACCUCCUCUCAGGGAGCAUCAUUGCUGUAGCCAUGCAGAGAGGGGCACGGCUGCCAGCGGAGGUUGCAGGGUUGUCCCAGGUCCUGCUGCGAGGAGGCGGCCAGGUCCUGCUCGGCUGGACACUCCAUUACUUCCCGUUUUUCCUGAUGGGCCGGGUCCUCUACUUCCACCACUACUUCCCAGCCAUGCUCUUCUCAAGCAUGUUGACAGGCAUUCUGUGGGACACCCUCCUGCGGCUCUGUGCCUGGGGCUUGGCCUCGUGGCCCCUGGCCAGGGGCAUACACGUGGCGGGAAUCCUGAGCCUGCUCCUGGGAACCGCCUACAGCUUCUACCUCUUCCACCCUCUGGCUUACGGGAUGGUUGGUCCCCUGGCCCAGGACCCCCAAAGUCCAAUGGCAGGACUAAGGUGGCUGGACUCAUGGGACUUUUGAGGCUACUGCAAAGAUUCCAGCCUGGGUCCAGGAACUUCCCAGUAGAGCCAGCUGGGAAGCAGUACUGGACCCAUCCAGCCGUGAGGAAGCUGCCUAAGGAGCCCCAAGAAUUCUGCUGCCCACCAGGACCCAGCUCUGGGAGUGCAGCUGGAAUGGAACCCAGCAUUGGAGAGAGCCGGGAGAGAGCCGCAGCUCCAUCCACAGCACCACAGAGAGGACAGCACCUCUCGGGCUGCUCCCUUGUGCACAGCGCAGGGGAGGAUGGGUGCCAGAGGGUGGGAGUGGGUGCGCGUGUGUGUAUGUGAGGACACGUUGUCCAUAUCCCUGUGGAAUACAGGCCGUGUAACUGGACAGCUGAGUGUCAUAAACUCUAAAAUAGUCCAGGCUAUAGUAAUAUUUUCUGGUAUUUUUUUCGUGUUGGAUUUCUUUGGUUUUGGUUUGUAAGAUCCAUCAAAGAUUCUCAGACCCCUAAGAGGGCCUUGAGGGCAGAGAAUACUGACCUCACCUUGGGAUGUCACCAAAGGCAGAGCAGAUGGGACUGUCAAAGUCGUGCUGCCCUCCCUCCCACAAACAAAAUGAAUCCAGUGUGGAGGAAGGCGCGCCGCCCCUAGCUGGAGGGCCUGGCUCCCACCACGCCAGGUAGCUGGACUUCCUGCCUCUGAUGCACACAGAGCAGCAGACUCCGGAGCGUCGGCCUGCCUUAGCCCUUGGUUCCUCAUUUUUUGGGAUUGUCACACUGUGAGACUCAGGGGAGGAACGAUGUCCUAUCCUAGGCUGCUCAGUGUUUCCAGGCCCCGUGUGCCAGAGGCCGGGUCUCUCCACGUGCAUCUGGCCUGGCCUGGAGGGCAAGGCAGAUGCAUUCUCCUGGCUGCUGGGAGAGCCCAUGGGAACCUUGCUUAGCGCCCAAGGUAGAUGAGAGACAGGGCAGGGAAUCUGCGUGGUGCUGGGGUGUGGGGACUCUGGCCUCUCCAGACUAAUGUUGCUGUCACCUGCUGAGCUUUCCCAGUGUCACUUCUGCAGUCCUGCUCUGCUCACCCCUCCCUCACUCCGUGGACAGUUCCCUUUCUCUCUGUCACUGCUUCAGCAGUGAAGACCCAUGGCACCUAGAAAUGCAUGCCAGCUUCCUGCGUCUACCACUCUGCAGCUCGAACAAGAAGCUCAGAGCUGCCCCUUCCACUUCCUCCCCAAAAGGGAUGAAGAAAACCCCGUGGUAGAACCAAACCACCCAAGGCCAGCCCUUCAGCCUGCCUCUGCCUUCCUGGUGCAUGACAAAAUAUUUCUUUUGUCUCAGAGGACUUUGAUGCUUCAAGAUUUAAUGAUGAAUCUGCCACACUCCAUUUUCCCUCCUCUGAAGCUCCCAACAACUCUGACAGGGUCAGAUCUCUCUAAAGCAUCUUCAGGAGGCGGUUGCCACGGAGACUGGAUACUGGUCCCAGGGACAGGCUGUGCUACCUACUGGGUGGUGGGGGGGGAAGCUUCUGGCCAUGGUUGGACAUUCAGACCUACCAUCAUUAAUGUUAAUAGAGGAAAUGCAGCAACGUCAAAAGCAAGGCAGGUUGGUUAAUUAGAUCUGGGGCCCGAUGACCUCCCUUUCCCACCACUACAGCCCUUUUGACUUCCCCCAGCAGGAAGCGCUGUCUGUGCGGCUGAGUCUGGGCUGCUUGCUUAAUUGCAUUUCUGGCAGGGAAGGAGAGGAGGGAUGGAGAAGCUCUGCUCCCUGCUUCCACCUCACCAUGUGUUCUCCCCUCCCCUCCCUUCCUCUACUUUCCACAGGCAGAAUUGCUUUCUUCUGAGCCGGGUGGGCUCUCCUGCAGGGAGAAUGCAGGGGUCUGUGCUUGGCUCCUAGCAAAGCAGGCGGCCCACAGUGACCUCCAGGAGGUGGCUGAUUUUCCUUUGUGCCUUCUUAUUUCUCAGUAGGAACUUGGAAGGGAGGAGCUCUGAAGGAGCCAGAGGGGCAGCCAUCUUGCAUGAGGGUGAGGAAGGAGAAGCCCAGCCAGCCUCUACCCAUCCCUCCCUCCCAAUUAGGCUGCACUGGGGCCGAAGGCUUCCCUGGGCUCCCACUGCCUUCUAAGGAGCCAAGGAGAAUUCCCUGCCCACUUUCUGUUCCUCCAUGCCCAAACUGGCAGAUGCUUCUCUGGGGGCAAGGCCACAUGGGCUUCUGCAGCUUUGAGUGCUCAGGUUCUGUUUUCUGGAAGAUGCUGGAGAAGGGCUGUCAGGGUGCUUCUCUGAAUAAGGGCUUUGAGUGCUCAGGUUCUGUUUUCUGGAAGGUGCUGGAGAAAGGCUGUCAGGGUGCUUCUCUGAAUAUGGGCUUCAGCUGUAGCACUUGGCAGAAACGUGAUGUGUCCCACAAACUGCUGGUGGAGGAAGAAGACAUUCGUCAGCCAGUUCAACCUCCAGCCAGCUUCUUGAGCCUAUUUGGUUUAAAAAAAAAAAAAAAGUCUUCUAAUCAGAAGCCACUGAUUUUAUAAUAAAUAGCACUUGUUUUG
rnacentral:sRNA from 1 species